AAUUGUCUUCUGUCUGCGGGAACGUACUCCAGCUGCAGGGAGGAGAGGAAGGAGCAGGAGGAGGAAAUCUCCGUCUCCCAGCGGCUCUGCCUGCACCACCCCUCCCCAAAAGUUUCCCACUUCAGGCGGUGGGAAGGGAGCGGGGCUCCCCUCUCCGCCCGGCCCUGGCGCAGCCGGGCUGAGCUGCUUGGUACUCCGCUCACAUUUGCUCUCGCUGGAGCCCAGCUCCCAAAACUGUUGCGAUCAAAACGCUGGAUCAGCAGCAGCUCGCACGCACGCCAUCGGGAGAUUUCCCCAUUUUUUUCCCCCAUCCAAGGGCUGCGGCCUCCCCUUUUUAACACCCUCCCACCCCUCCGGCUUUUUCCCCCUCGCCCCCCGGCUCCAGCGCCCCGCACACCCCGCGGGCAGCCGGGGGAGGGCUGGGGGAGCCGGGACCCCCCCCCCCGGGCCGGUCCCGCGGAGCCGGGACCCCCCAGCUCCGCCCGGGGAGGGCUCGGGGAGGCUCCCCCCUCGCCCCCGACCCCUCGCCCCCGGCCCCGACCGCGGCGGGUCCCGCCCGGGGAGGCGGCGGCGGGGGAAGUGGGAGGAGAGGCGGCGGAGCGCCUUGCCUCCCGAGGCAUCAGACGUGGGGAAAGGGAGGGGAGAGAGGCAGAGAAAGAGAGAGAAACGCGCCGAGGAAGGCAGGGAAGGACUGGGGAGGCCGGGCUGGGGAGGGUCCCGGUCCCUCCCGUGUCCGGAGGACCAAGGGAACAGUCGCUCGGGGCGGCCACCCCCACGCCACCCCUCCCGGCUGGGCGCCCAUGUGCUGCCGGCACCGGCCUGCGAGUAAGUACCCGGCUGCCCCCGGAGCCCCGGGACCCCCUUCCCUCCCUCCCCCCCCUUCCUUUCCCUUCCCUUCCCCGCAGCGACACCCGGCUGCAUCCCCUCCCCGUCCCAGCGGACCCCCCGGGCCCCCUUCCCCUCCUGCCCUCCCAACCCCACACCUUCCCGCAUCCCUUCCCCUCCUCUCCCCCCCCUCUUUCCCGGAUCUCCCAGCCGCUCCGGACCUCUCUCCCUUCCCCGCUCCCCUCUCCGUCCUCCUGCUCCCCCCGGAACCCCCGUAGCCCUGCCAGCCCCUCGGCCCCCGCCCGCCCCCCAGCCUGCCUUCCCCUCGCAUCACCCCGGCGAGUUUCGCUUCCCGGCCCCCGCCUUCCCUCGGGGCCCCCCCCCCAGCUCUCCGCCGCCCCCUCCUGCUCUAGGGCCGGGGUUUUGGGGCCAAAUUGGCGAGUCCCGCUCCCCAGAGAGAGUCCCGGGCGUUGGCUGGCAGCCCGCGGGCGGUGGGGGGUCCGGCUGGAUUUGUAG
rnacentral:lncRNA from 1 species